GAUGAACGCUGGCGGCGUGCCUAAUACAUGCAAGUCGAGCGAACAGACGAGGAGCUUGCUCCUCUGACGUUAGCGGCGGACGGGUGAGUAACACGUGGAUAACCUACCUAUAAGACUGGGAUAACUUCGGGAAACCGGAGCUAAUACCGGAUAAUAUAUUGAACCGCAUGGUUCAAUAGUGAAAGACGGUUUUGCUGUCACUUAUAGAUGGAUCCGCGCCGCAUUAGCUAGUUGGUAAGGUAACGGCUUACCAAGGCAACGAUGCGUAGCCGACCUGAGAGGGUGAUCGGCCACACUGGAACUGAGACACGGUCCAGACUCCUACGGGAGGCAGCAGUAGGGAAUCUUCCGCAAUGGGCGAAAGCCUGACGGAGCAACGCCGCGUGAGUGAUGAAGGUCUUCGGAUCGUAAAACUCUGUUAUUAGGGAAGAACAAAUGUGUAAGCAACUAUGCACGUCUUGACGGUACCUAAUCAGAAAGCCACGGCUAGCUACGUG
rnacentral:rRNA from 1 species